UUCGAAAAUUAAUCUAUUAAAAAAUAAAUGCAACAAAUAAUUAAUAAACACAAACACAUUACUCCCGCAUACAGUAUCCAAGUCACUCUACUCUACUCUACUCUACUCUACU
rnacentral:sRNA from 14 species